rnacentral:lncRNA from 1 species
AAUGGAUACGACAGUCACCACUAAGAAACAGCAGAGAUUAAUAUAUAUGAUGAUUACUCUGGCAUCGUUGAUGGGAGUUGGAUUAAAAAGACAAGAAAAGCAGAAGCCUAUGUUCCAUGUGCAAGUCACAGAAGAAAGUUUAAGAAGUCCCACCAACACUCCAGAGGGGAUUACAGAAGAGCACAAAUGCCAGAAGGAAUGGUCACUGGGGACUACCUUAGAAAACGACUACCACAGUAUUUUCAUUUCUUAAGUG